rnacentral:rRNA from 1 species
UACGGAGGGUGCAAGCGUUGUCCGGAUUUAUUGGGUUUAAAGGGUGCGUAGGCGGCCCCGUUAAGUCAGUGGUGAAAAGCCUCCAGCUCAACUGGAGAAACUGCCAUUUGAUACUGACGGGGCUUUGAGUACAGACGAGGGUUUGGCGGGAAAUUUGAUUUGUGUAGCGGUGAAAAUGCAUAGAUACAAAUUCAAAGAAACUCCCGAUUUGCGUAGGGCAGCUAACUAGGCUGUAAACUGACGCUGAGGCACGAAAAGCGUGGGGGAGCGAACAGGG